rnacentral:rRNA from 1 species
UUAAACGUCCAUGCCACGUUGAAUACACCGGUUUUCGUCCGAUCACCGAAGUUAAGCAAGGUCGAGCGCGAUCUAUCCAUCCAUCCGCCUGGGAACACCGCGUGACGUCGGCU